UGGGGAAUAUUGCACAAUGGGCGCAAGCCUGAUGCAGCCAUGCCGCGUGUAUGAAGAAGGCCAUCGGGUUGUAAAGUACUUUCAGCGGGGAGGAAGGUGUUGAGGCUAAUAACCUCAGCAAUUGACGUUACCCGCAGAAGAAGCACCGGCUAACUCCGUGCCAGCAGCCGCGGUAAUACGGAGGGUGCAAGCGUUAAUCGGAAUUACUGGGCGUAAAGCGCACGCAGGCGGUCUGUCAAGUCGGAUGUGAAAUCCCCGGGCUCAACCUGGGAACUGCAUUCGAAACUGGCAGGCUAGAGUCUUGUAGAGGGGGGUAGAAUUCCAGGUGUAGCGGUGAAAUGCGUAGAGAUCUGGAGGAAUACCGGUGGCGAAGGCGGCCCCCUGGACAAAGACUGACGCUCAGGUGCGAAAGCGUGGGGAGCAAACA
rnacentral:rRNA from 1 species